UACGUAGGUGGCAAGCGUUGUCCGGAAUUAUUGGGCGUAAAGGGCGUGUAGGUGGAUUCUUAAGUCGUGUGUCUAAGUGCGGAGCUCAACUCCGUAUGGGCGCAGGAACCUGGGAAUCUUGAGUGCAGGAGAGGAAAGUGGAAUUCCCAGUGUAGCGGUGAAAUGCGUAGAUAUUGGGAGGAACACCAGUGGCGAAGGCGACUUUCUGGACUGUGUCUGACACUGAGGCGCGAAAGCUAGGGGAGCGAACGGG
rnacentral:rRNA from 1 species